rnacentral:rRNA from 1 species
UACGUAGGGCGCAAGCGUUGUCCGGAAUCAUUGGGCGUAAAGAGCUCGUAGGCGGCUUGUCACGUCGGGUGUGAAAGCCCGGGGCUUAACCCCGGGUCUGCAUUCGAUACGGGCUAGCUAGAGUGUGGUAGGGGAGAUCGGAAUUCCUGGUGUAGCGGUGAAAUGCGCAGAUAUCAGGAGGAACACCGGUGGCGAAGGCGGUUCUCUGGGCAUUACCUGACGCUGAGGAGCGAAAGUGUGGGGAGCGAACAGG